rnacentral:lncRNA from 10 species
CACCGCACCUGGCCUGAUGUUUAUUAUUUUCAAAGUGUGUUUGUAAACAUAACAUCAUACAAACAUUUCAACUUCCGUGGGUUAUUACAAAUUAGGAAACAGGGUUAGAAGUAUAAUUUAUUCAAGACCUCAAGUUGAGAUUCAACUCCAGAUACCGUGAUUCCCGUUUCUGAAAUGUUUUACAUAUGUUGCAACAUAUGUUACAAGUGUUUUACAUAUGUUACACAUUUGAUCUUGUCAUUUUCCUGUUUACAGUUAACUGCCAUGGUAGUUAUCAUUGGGUGCAGAAUGAGGUCCAGACUGUUGUGUUUUAGAUGGUGAAGGGAUUACUUAUGGACAAAAACAUUUUUUAAAAGGCAAUAUAUGAUAUAAACUUGGGAUUUAAAGACUUUCACAGGUAAGUAAACAUAGAAGAUCUCAGAAUGUAUCUGGAAGGGAUCUUCAUAGAUUCUGAAGAGUGUCCAUGUCACAUUAUCGGUCCCAAUCUGGUUAACUGACUUUGCAUUACUUCCUCCAUAGGUGAGACACAGGAGACAUCCCAUUUGACUGGAGGAUCCUGGGAGAUGGAAGGGAAAUCUCGAUAGGUGGAAAGGAGUGGAUUGGUAUUUCAGGCCAGAAGGUUGUUAUAAAGUGUAGAAGGGUGGCUAGUAGCUUUUUUAGUCUAAAAUUCUGUGAUUUACCAUAAAGCAUAAAACUGGGGCAGCUAAAUUUGUCAAAAGUUUUUGGAGAAUUCAGUUCUUAGAGGGAGAAAGUUCAUUGUGACUUAGUUUUAUAAAAGAUUUUUUAGGCCAGGCCCAGUAAUCUCCGCACUUUGAGAGUCUGAGGCAGGAAGAUCACUUGAAGCCAGGAGUUCAAGACCAGCCUGGGCAACAUAGUGAGACUCCUGUCUCUAGAAAAAAAGAAAUUAGCCAGCUGUGGUGGCAUGCACCUGUAGUCCUAGCUACUUGGGAGCUGAGGCUGAGGUGGGAGGAUUGCUUGAGGCCAGGAGUUCAAAGCUGCAGUGAGCCAUAAUUGCACCACUGCACUCCAGCCUGGACAACAGAAUGAGACCCUGUCUCAAAAAAAAGAUAAAGGAAAGAUAUUGUAAAAACUCAGAGCCACCGCGUCCGGCUCAUUACCAAACAUUUUUAAAAGGCAUUAUCUUUUUGCAUUUUGGAUACAUUUAAAACUCGGGA